rnacentral:misc_RNA from 1 species
CUUAUAUUUUGUAUUUCCUUAAUCUAGUAUAUAUACAGCAAGGGCAAGAGUGAUAUCCCACAAUUAUAGGAUAUAAUCAUGCUAUUACAGAAUGUCAACUUAAAUAUUAUACAAAAUAGGGAAAUGAAUAUUACACAAAAUAAGAAAAUAAUCCUCAUUGAUCAAGAGCUGAGAUUUCGAUUUGAUAUGCUGUUAUUAUGCCCCCGCAAGAUAGGGGUGGUGUCAACAACUCCUAUCUUGGAGAGAUUUUUCUGAAACAGGUGCUUGGCUGGUGCCUUGGUAAGGGAAUCAGCUAGCUGGUCAGCAGAGUGAACAUGAAGAACAUGAAGUUUAGAACACUGAACUUGCUCUCGGACAAAGUGAAAAUCUAUAGCAAUAUUUCAUUCUGCUAUGGAAAACUGGAUUUUGACAAAGAUAUGUGGUGCCAACAUUAUCACAAUAAACGACAGGUGUCGAUGUUGGAACUUGAAGCUCAAAGAGAAGAUUUUGGAUCCAAUUUACCUCAGCUACAGUGGCAGCUACUAACCUAUAUUCUGCUUCAGUAGAUGAGCGAGCAACAGUCUUUUGUUUCUUAGAAGACCAACUGAUUGGUGUUUGACCAAGAAAGAUGAGAUAAGCUGAGGUUGAACAGCGAUCAUUUGCAUCUCCAGCCCAAUCAGCAUCUGAAUAUGCAUGAAGAUCAAGAUUCCUAGAUUUGCAAAUACUUAAACCAUGCAUAAGAGUUUGUUUUAAAUAGCAUAAAAUGCGCUUGGUAGCCUGCCAGUGAAGGGUCGAUGGUUGAUGCAUAAAUUGGGACAAUUUAUUGACAGCAAAUGAGAUGUCCGGACGAGUGAAUGAUAGAUAUUGAAGAGCCCCAAUCACUUGUCGAUAUUGUUUAGCAUCAGUGGGUGGAGCUCCAUCAUUCAAUGUGAGUGUAGUUGUGGAGCUUAAUGGAGUUUGAACUCCAUUACAAUCAAGCAUGUUAUGUUUCUGAAGAAGCUCUGUAAUAUACUUAGAUUGAGAUAGGAGAAGACCACCUGAGUAAGGUACGACUUCUACUCCAAGAAAGAAAUGUAAUGCUCCAAGGUCUUUAAGUGAGAAUUUUUUGGAGAGGUCAGCAAUUGUUUGAGAGAGAGCUUGAGAAUGAUUUCCUGUCAGCACAAUAUCGUCAACAUAAACAAGAAGUAUAAGGAGAAUACCGCCAUGUGAGUAUAUAAAUAAUGAGUUGUCCGAGCGCGAAUUCACAAAGCCAUAUGUAGUAAAAAAUUAUCGUAGCUCUUGGUACCAGGCCCUCGGUGCUUGACGAAGACCGUAGAUGGGCUUAUUUAAGCGACAUACAUGUGAUGGAAAUUGAGAAUGAAUAAAUCCAGGUGGUUGUUGCAUGAAGACUUCAUCUUCAAGGGUGCCUUGCAAGAAGGCAUUAUUGACAUCUAGCUGACGAAGUGGCCACCCUUGUUGGACAGCAAGUGAUAGAACAAUUCUGACCGUGACUGCCUUAACAAUUGGACUGAAUGUAGAGUGGAAAUCAAUCCCUAGACGUUGAGUAAAUCCUUUGGCUAUAAGGCGUGCCUUGUACCUAUCAACAGAACCAUCAGCUUUUCUUUUUAUUCGGUAAAUCCACUUACAGCCCACUAUAUUUUGUGAUGAGUGUGCUGGAACAAGAUCCCAUGUAUGAUUAUAGUAAGGCAUCAAACUCUUCACGCAUGGCAGUAGCCAAUGGGAAUCCUGCUGGGCUUUGCGAAUGGUUGUAGGUGUCGUAAGAUCAAAGCAUACAGCUAGAUAGUCAAAGGGAACUUUGGGUUUGAAGAUAUUAUUCUGUGAUCGGGUGAUCAUACGAUUUGGAGGUGGUGGUAGGGUGGAGGGUUGAUUUUGAGGUUGUGGUGAGAAAGAUAAGGAUCUUACCGUGCUUGUAAUAGUGUUGGAAUCUGAAGCAGUAGUGGCAGCCAUGGUAGGUGGCGAUGAAGAAGUUUCUGUUUGAGUGACGGCAGAAGUGGUAGGAGGGGAUAGUAGAUUUGGAUCAGGAAGUGGAAUGAGAGGCAUGUCAAAAGAGGUGGGUGAUGCCUCUUGAGAGGUAACCAAAGGUGAAGAAGAGAGAUCAAGCCAUUCAAGUGGGGCUCGUAAGGAUGACAAGGAAGAGAAGAUUGUUUUGUAUGGAAAUUCAGAUUCUAAGAAUUUAACAUGUCGAGAUAGAAAAACUUUUGAGGUGGUGGGAUCGAAACAUUGGUAACAGUGAUGAGAGAGGGAAUAUCCGAUGAAAACACAAGGUUGAGAUUUUGGUUCUAAUUUAUUUUUGGCGUAUGGUUGAAGCCAAGGGUAACAUAGGCAACCGAAGAUGCGAAGUUUAGAGUAUGUAGGUGUGUCACGGAAGAGUAAAGUAAAGGGAGAUUUAUUUUGAAGGAUUGAAGUAGGCAAACGAUUGAUGAGAUAAACAGUUGUUUGACACGCAAAGGACCAUAUAGAGGAUGGAAGGGAUGCUUGGUGAAAAAG